CCUGCAUGAAGCNGGAAUUGCUAGUAAUCGCGGAUCAGCAUGCCGCGGUGAAUACGUUCCCGGGCCUUGUACACACCGCCCGUCACACCAUGAGAGUCGGGAACACCCGAAGUCCGUAGUCUAACCGCAAGGAGGGCGCGGCCGAAGGUGGGUCCGGUAAUUGGGGUGAAGUCGUAACAAGGUAGC
rnacentral:rRNA from 1 species